GGUGAGGGGAGAAAGUGCUAGGAGCUGGGACCCCUCCCAUCCCUCACUCUCAUCAGAAGAGGAGAGGAGAGGAGAGGUUGGGACCAGUCUUCACCCCCUGGAAUGUCACUGAUGAUAAAACCAUAAUGGUGGCAGCCCCAGCAUUUACAAAGAGGAGGGAUGCGGCAGGGCCAUCUUGCUGAAAGCCCGAACUAAAGGAAGCUGUGUUUGGACAACAGGCACAAUUUGGGGUGGUGGCACAGGGCCACACACCUCCGGUUACCCCUUGGAUCAACCACAGGUGGGCCUGUCUGUCACGGGCAUGUUCCAUCCCACCCAAGCCCAAGGACACUCCAGGGUUUCCUUAGUUUCACAACCAAGGUGCGUGCUCAGCGGACUCUGCAGACCCAGUGCCGCGACUUCCCCUAAAGCCAGGCGUGUAUCUGCGCGUGUGAGGUGCUCUGCCGCAACCCUAUGCAGAGAGCAGGUGGGCUAGGACUCGGG
rnacentral:lncRNA from 1 species